rnacentral:rRNA from 1 species
GAUGAACGCUAGCGGCAGGCUUAAUACAUGCAAGUCGAGGGACAGCACAGGUAGCAAUACUGGGUGGUAACCGGCAAACGGGUGCGGAACACGUACACAACCUUCCUUUAAGUGGGGGAUAGCCCAGAGAAAUUUGGAUUAAUACCCCGUAAUAUAGUUGAAUGGCAUCAUUUGAUUAUUAUAGCGACGGCGCUUAAUGAUGGGUGUGCGGCUGAUAGAUAGUUGGCGGGAUAACGGCCCACCAAGUCUACGAUCAGUAGCUGAUGUGAGAGCAUGAUCAGCCACACGGGCACUGAGACACGGGCCCGACUCCUACGGGUGGCAGCAGUAAGGAAUAUUGGUCAAUGGACGCAAGUCUGAACCAGCCAUGCCGCGUGAAGGAUUAAGGUCCUCUGGAUUGUAAACUUCUUUUAUUUGGGACGGAAAAGGGCCUUUCUAGGUCAACUGACGGUACCAGAUGAAUAAGCACCGGCUAACUCCGUGCCAGCCGCCGCCGUAAUAC